AUUGAACGCUGGCGGCAUGCCUUACACAUGCAAGUCGAACGGCAGCACGGGUGCUUGCACCUGGUGGCGAGUGGCGAACGGGUGAGUAAUACAUCGGAACAUGUCCUGUAGUGGGGGAUAGCCCGGCGAAAGCCGGAUUAAUACCGCAUACGAUCUACGGAUGAAAGCGGGGGACCUUCGGGCCUCGCGCUAUAGGGUUGGCCGAUGGCUGUUUAGCUAGUUGGUGGGGUAAAGGCCUACCAAGGCGACGAUCAGUAGCUGUUCUGAGAGGACGACCAGCCACACUGGGACUGAGACACGGCCCAGACUCCUACGGGAGGCAGCAGUGGGGAAUUUUGGACAAUGGGCGAAAGCCUGAUCCAGCAAUGCCGCGUGUGUGAAGAAGGCCUUCGGGUUGUAAAGCACUUUUGUCCGGAAAGAAAUCCUUGGCCCUAAUACGGUCGGGGGAUGACGGUACCGGAAGAAUAAGCACCGGCUAACUACGUG
rnacentral:rRNA from 1 species